rnacentral:rRNA from 1 species
AAGACCUUGCACUUUUGGAGCGGCCGAUGUCUGAUUAGCUAGUUGGUGGGGUAAAGGCCUACCAAGGCAUCGAUCAGUAGCUGGUCUGAGAGGACGACCAGCCACACUGGGACUGAGACACGGCCCAGACUCCUACGGGAGGCAGCAGUGGGGAAUUUUGGACAAUGGGCGCAAGCCUGAUCCAGCCAUGCCGCGUGAGUGAAGAAGGCCUUCGGGUUGUAAAGCGCUUUCAGUCGGGAAGAAAAGAUUGCGACUAAUAAUCGUGAUCAAUGACGGUACCGAAAGAAGAAGCACCGGCUAACUACGUGCCAGCAGCCGCGGUAAUACGUAGGGUGCGAGCGUUAAUCGGAAUUACUGGGCGUAAAGGGUGCGCAGGCGGUCUUGUAAGUCAGAUGUGAAAUCCCCGGGCUUAACCUGGGAACU